rnacentral:rRNA from 1 species
UACGCUGUCUGUGAAUCAUCGAAUCUUUGAACGCACCUUGCACUUGCAGAUAGACUCUGCAAGUAUACCUGUUUGAGUAUCAUACACAUUUAUCUGGCGCACAGCGAUGUGAGCCGGGACGUGGGUGUCAGCGUGCGCAAUCGUGCGCGCUGUUGCCUCAAAUGCAGCGAGGACCGAGGACGACUGCGGCGUCGUGCUCUGCGUGAGGAUGUUUGUGCUUCGGCGCAAAGCAAUCACUUGGAGUGACGUUUGUGGACGUUCGCUAUAUCGGUCCUUUGGCGCAAGCCCUCUGCUGCAAAGCAGAGACCAGAACAAAAUGUGAUCUCAAAUCAGGCAAGAAGACCCGCCGAACUUAAGCAUAUCAAUAAGCGGAGG